UACGUAGGGAGCAAGCGUUGUCCGGAAUCAUUGGGCGUAAAGCGCGCGUAGGCGGCCCCGUAAGUCCGCUGUGAAAGUCAAAGGCUCAACCUUUGAAAGCCGGUGGAUACUGUGGGGCUAGAGUACGGAAGAGGCGAGUGGAAUUCCUGGUGUAGCGGUGGAAUGCGCAGAUAUCAGGAGGAACACCGGUGGCGAAGGCGGAUCUCUGGGCCAUUACUGACGCUGAGGAGCGAAAGCGUGGGGAGCGAACAGG
rnacentral:rRNA from 1 species